CGAGGGGACUGGGACCAGGAGGAGGGGGCCACCAAACCAGGGGAAGAGGGAGGAAUUACAGGGACCCCUAAACAGCAUUCAUUUCUUGACUCGCUUCAAUCAUGGGUUGCAAGAAAAAAUCAUUAGUAGAGUACCGCCGGGAAUACCCUGACCUAGAAGUGAAACGGGUGAAAAAGCUGGGCAAGGAAGACCAGGAGAUUUUGAAAUGCUAUCGAUGGAGGAACUGGCAAAGCAUCCUGUCGACCAGCACCAGGACAACGGGGCAGCCAUCCGGAUGGCACGGAUCAAACAGGCUAUCAACGAGACGAACAAGACGCUGCAGCCUCUGGAAGACUCCUCGGACCCCAGGGUGCUGAAGUGCCUGCAAGACGUCAAAAAGCCCAUAAGCGAGGUUGUCCACCAAGUCACCCAGAAUGAAAGCUGCACGUGAAGCUGGAAGAGAAAGCCAGCCGUGAGACUUACAUGAGGCAGGCCAUCCUCAUCAUGCGGCAGCACCAGGCCAAUGAGUCCAGCCAGCUCUACACCAGCAGCAAGCAGGAGGCUCAGCAGCCCGGCCUGCUGGACACCGUGGACAGCUGCUUCUUCACCACCUCCAACCUCUACCCCUGCCACGCCAACAUCGCCGCUGUGGGCUCUGGUGGCCACGCUCCAGCAACUGACCAGGAACAGGCAUUAGGGACCAGGACAUGGAGAAGCUGCCGCAGGAGGUGGGAGCAGCUGCAGUGUCUGGAUCAGGGCUAGUUGGACUAUGCUUCCCUUUGGCAGAAUCCAAUCUUUAUUUUUUUUUUUAAUAAUUGCAACAGUUAAAAUCGAUUUCAGUUUUCAGGAUUUCACAAAAUUGGUGGUGGGGGGGGCGGGGGGCGGCGCAGACCAUUGAGUAAUGACUAUGGACUGUUAAAAGUUUAUGAAAUCGCGCGUUCAAAUCUAUAAAAGUAAAGGUUCCCGCUUUAAGUCAUUCUGGUCACUCAUCAGGAAAAGCUGGGUGGGCAGAGGCCAGAAGAGGACCCAGGCCAGGUGUGACAUCCACAAGGCGAGGGUCCAUCAAAACAAGCGUCAAGGGCCCCCUCCCACGAGUACAAGGGUUAAGACAGGGGAUGCCUGACUGGGGCAGCAUGGCUAGGAGAUAGGGGAUCCUCAGCUGAACCCACUCGGGGGACAAGCACACAUCAGUCUCCACACUUGCACUAGGCUUACGUCAAGUUCACAAAUACACCUCACCAAACAAGCAGAUCCAAGCAAAUGCACGGCCCAAGACAGCCAUCAACAGACCCAGAUACGGUUGAACACACAAAUCACCAACAAUUGGACACGGAUGUUAGUGGUGCUGGCCCGGCAGGGGUAUAGGCCACGGAUUGUGGACAAGCAGCAGUCGACGGUGGCAGUGUUGGCCCAGCAGUGGUAGAGGCCAGAGAUGGUGGAAAAGCAGCAGUCCGCUGCGGUGGUGCUGGCCCGGCACGGGUAGAGGCCACAGAUUGUGGAUAAGCAGCAGCUGCCAGUGACAGUGAUGGUCUGGCAGGGGGA